rnacentral:rRNA from 1 species
AUGGAUCUUCGCGGCGAGAGAUGGACGGCUCCGUCGCUGUGCCUGGUGCUCGUGCUUCUCCAAGCGAGCAUUUCUGCCUGCGCGGGAGCCCCGAAGACUUACAUCGUCCACAUGGCCGCGUCGGAGAAGCCCAGCUCGUUCGAUUUUCACCACGAGUGGUACGCCUCCACGGUCAAGUCCGUGAGCUCUGCGCAGAUUGAAGCUGAGGAGGAGGAGGAUGCUUACGCGAGGAUCGUCUACAACUACGAGACGGCCAUCCAUGGCUUCGCGGCUCGCCUCGACGAGGACGAGGCUGAGCGGAUGGCCGAGGCGGCCGGCGUGCUGGCCGUGCUCCCGGAGACGGUCCUGCAGCUGCACACCACCAGGAGCCCCGACUUCCUGGGCAUUGGCCCGGAGGUCAGCAACAGAAUCUGGGCCUCCGGCCUCGCCGACCACGACGUCGUCGUCGGCGUGCUCGACACCGGCAUAUGGCCCGAGAGCCCCAGCUUCAGCGACAAGGGGCUCGGCCCCGUGCCGUCCAAGUGGAAAGGCCUGUGCCAGACCGGCCGCGGCUUCACCACGGCCGACUGCAACCGCAAGAUCAUCGGCGCGCGCAUCUUCUACAGCGGCUACGAGGCCUCCUCGGGCCCCAUCAACGAGACCACCGAGCUCAAGUCCCCGCGCGACCAGGACGGCCACGGCACGCACACCGCCGCCACCGCCGCGGGCUCGCCCGUGCCGGACGCCGGCCUCUUCGGCUACGCGCGCGGCGUCGCCCGCGGCAUGGCGCCCCGCGCCCGCGUCGCCGCGUACAAGGUGUGCUGGACCGGCGGCUGCUUCAGCUCCGACAUCCUCGCGGCCGUCGACCGCGCCGUGUCGGACGGCGUCGACGUGCUCUCCAUCUCCCUCGGCGGCGGCGCCUCCCCUUACUACCGCGACAGCCUGUCAAUCGCGUCGUUUGGGGCCAUGCAGAUGGGCGUGUUCAUCGCCUGCUCGGCCGGCAACGCCGGCCCGGACCCGAUAAGCCUCACGAACCUGUCGCCGUGGAUCACCACGGUGGGCGCGAGCACCAUGGACCGUGACUUCCCGGCAACAGUGACGUUUGGCAACGGCGCCAACAUCACCGGCGUCUCGCUUUACAAGGGCAGGAAGAACCUUUCGCCUCGGCAGCAGUAUCCGGUGGUCUACAUGGGCGGCAACUCGAGCAUCCCGAACCCCAGGUCCAUGUGCCUCGAGGGGACACUGGAGCCCAACGCCGUCGCCGGAAAGAUCGUGAUAUGCGACCGCGGCAUCAGUCCUCGGGUGCAGAAGGGUCAGGUUGUCAAGGAAGCAGGAGGCAUCGGCAUGAUCCUCGCCAACACCGCAGCGAACGGCGAGGAGCUCGUCGCCGACAGCCACCUCCUGCCAGCCGUGGCCGUUGGGGAAUCCGAAGGCGUCGCGGCAAAGAAGUACACCAGGACGGCCCCAAAGCCGACGGGGACACUCAGCUUCGCCGGAACCAAGCUCGGCAUCCGGCCGUCGCCGGUGGUCGCCGCGUUCUCUUCCCGGGGGCCAAACUACCUGACUCUGGAGAUCCUCAAGCCGGACCUCAUCGCGCCCGGCGUGAACAUCCUGGCCGCAUGGAGCGGCGACGCCAGCCCGUCGAGCCUGGCCAGCGACCGCCGCCGCGUCGGGUUCAACAUCCUGUCGGGGACGUCCAUGUCGUGCCCGCACGUCGCCGGCGUGGCCGCGCUGCUCAAGGCAAGCCACCCGGACUGGAGCCCAGCGCAGAUCAAGUCGGCGCUGAUGACCACCGCCUACGUCCACGACAACACCUACCACGUGCUCAAGGACGCGGCGACCGGCGACGCGUCUACGCCGUUCGAGCACGGGGCCGGCCACAUACACCCGGUGCGAGCGCUCAACCCGGGCCUGGUCUACGACAUUGGGCAGAACGAGUACCUAGAGUUCCUCUGCACGCAGAACCUGACGCGGACGCAGCUCAAGGGCUUCACCAAGAACUCCAACAUGACAUGCAAGGGCAGCUUCAGCUCGCCCGGCGACCUCAACUACCCGGCCAUCUCCGCCGUCUUCAGCGAUCAGCCGGCCACCCCGCUGAUGGUGCGCCGCACCGUGACGAACGUCGGUCCUCCGUCGUCGACGUACCAUGUCAAGGUCACAAAGUUCAAAGGCGCGGACGUCGUCGUCGAGCCGAGCACCCUGCACUUCAGCAGCGCAAACCAGAAGCUCGCCUACAAGGUUACACUGAGGACCAAGGCCGCUCAGAAGACACCCGAGUACGGUGCCCUGUCAUGGAGCGACGGCGUUCACGUAGUCCGGAGCCCCCUGGUCCUCACAUGGCUGCCGCCAAUGUGA